rnacentral:rRNA from 1 species
GAUGAACGCUGGCGGCGUGCCUAAUACAUGCAAGUCGAGCGAACAGAUGAGGAGCUUGCUCCUUUGACGUUAGCGGCGGACGGGUGAGUAACACGUAGGUAACCUACCUAUAAGACUGGGAUAACUUCGGGAAACCGGAGCUAAUACCGGAUAAUAUUUCGAACUGCAUGGUUCGAUAGUGAAAGAUGGCUUUGCUAUCACUUAUAGAUGGACCUGCGCCGUAUUAGCUAGUUGGUAAGGUAACGGCUUACCAAGGCAACGAUACGUAGCCGACCUGAGAGGGUGAUCGGCCACACUGGAACUGAGACACGCUCCAGACUCCUACGGGAGGCAGCAGUAGGGAAUCUUCCGCAAUGGGCGAAAGCCUGACGGAGCAACGCCGCGUGAGUGAUGAAGGUCUUCGGAUCGUAAAACUCUGUUAUUAGGGAAGAACAAACGUGUAAGUAACUGUGCACGUCUUGACGGUACCUAAUCAGAAAGCCACGGCUAACUACGUG